CAAUAGCGUAUAUUUAAGUUGUUGCAGUUAAAAAGCUCGUAGUUGGAUUUCGGGUUGGCUUCAGCGGUCUCGCUUUGCGUUUGCACUGCUGCAGCCUACCUUCUUGUCGAGGACGGGCCUACGGGCUUAAUUGCUUGGGGCCCGGAGUCGACGACGUUACUUUGAGUAAAUUAGAGUGUUCAAAGCAAGCCUACGCUCUGAAUAUAAUAGCAUGGGAUAACACGACAGGACUCUGGCCUAUCGUGUUGGUCUGUAGGACCAGAGUAAUGAUUAAGAGGGACAGUCGGGGGCAUUCGUAUUCCGUUGUCAGAGGUGAAAUUCUUGGAUUUACGGAAGACGAACAUCUGCGAAAGCAUUUGCCAAGGAUGUUUUCAUUGA
rnacentral:rRNA from 1 species